GAUAAAGCAUGUAAGAACUGCAGGAAAACUGGCCACGUAGCACGCGAUUGUCAGAAUGAACCUGUUUGCAACUUGUGUAACAUAGCUGGGCAUGUGGCAAGGCAGUGCCCAAAGGGCAAUAAUGUUGCAGAGAGGGGUGCUUGGGAUCGGACCAGUGGUUAUCGGGAUGUGGUAUGCCGGACCUGCAACCAGGUGGGCCACAUGAGCAGGGAUUGUGUGGGUCCCAUGAUCAUCUGCCACAACUGUGGUGGCAGGGGCCAUAUGGCACUUGAGUGUCCAUCCGGAA
rnacentral:misc_RNA from 1 species